rnacentral:rRNA from 1 species
AGAGUUUGAUCCUGGCUCAGGAUGAACGCUAGCUACAGGCUUAACACAUGCAAGUCGAGGGGCAUCAUUAUCGAAGCUUGCUUUGAUAGAUGGCGACCGGCGCACGGGUGAGUAACGCGUAUCCAACCUUCCCCUUAGUAGGGCACAGCCGGCGAAAGUCGGAUUAAUUCCCUAUGUUGUUUGAUGCUGACAUCAAAAUCAAACCAAAGAUUCAUCGCUAAGGGAUGGGGAUGCGUCUGAUUAGAUAGUAGGCGGGGUAACGGCCCACCUAGUCAACGAUCAGUAGGGGUUCUGAGAGGAAGGUCCCCCACAUUGGAACUGAGACACGGUCCAAACUCCUACGGGAGGCAGCAGUGAGGAAUAUUGGUCAAUGGGCGAGAGCCUGAACCAGCCAAGUAGCGUGCAGGAUGACGGCCCUAUGGGUUGUAAACUGCUUUUAUACGGGGAUAAAGUGGGCCAUGUAUGGCCUUUUGCAUCUACCGUAUGAAUAAGGACCGGCUAAUUCCGUGCCAGCAGCCGCGGUAAUACGGAAGGUCCGGGCGUUAUCCGGAUUUAUUGGGUUUAAAGGGAGCGCAGGCGGACAGUUAAGCGUGACGUGAAAUGCAGCGGCUCAACCGUAUGAAGUGCGUCGCGAACUGGCAGUCUUGAGUGAGUACGAUGUAGGCGGAAUUUGUGGUGUAGCGGUGAAAUGCUUAGAUAUCACGAAGAACUCCGAUUGCGAAGGCAGCCUACAAGUCCUUUACUGACGCUAAAGCUCGAAGGUGCGGGUAUCGAACAGGAUUAGAUACCCUGGUAGUCCGCACGGUAAACGAUGGAUGCCCGCUGUUUGCGAUAUAGUGUGAGCGGCCAAGCGAAAGCGUUAAGCAUCCCACCUGGGGAGUACGCCGGCAACGGUGAAACUCAAAGGAAUUGACGGGGGCCCGCACAACAGGAGGAACAUGUGGUUUAAUUCGAUGAUACGCGAGGAACCUUACCCGGGCUUGAACUGCAGCAGAACGAUUGAGAGAUCAUGAGGUCUUCGGGACUGCUGUGGAGGUGCUGCAUGGUUGUCGUCAGCUCGUGCC